GGGACACGUGGUAUCCUGUCUGAAUAUGGGGGGACCAUCCUCCAAGGCUAAAUACUCCUGACUGACCGAUAGUGAACCAGUACCGUGAGGGAAAGGCGAAAAGAACCCCGGCGAGGGGAGUGAAAAAGAACCUGAAACCGUGUACGUACAAGCAGUGGGAGCACCUUCGGGUGUGACUGCGUACCUUUUGUAUAAUGGGUCAGCGACUUAUAUUCUGUAGCAAGGUUAACCGUAUAGGGGAGCCGCAGGGAAACCGAGUCUUAACUGGGCGUUAAGUUGCAGGGUAUAGACCCGAAACCCGGUGAUCUAGCCAUGGGCAGGUUGAAGGUUGGGUAACACUAACUGGAGGACCGAACCGACUAAUGUUGAAAAAUUAGCGGAUGACUUGUGGCUGGGGGUGAAAGGCCAAUCAAACCGGGAGAUAGCUGGUUCUCCCCGAAAGCUAUUUAGGUAGCGCCUCGUGAACUCAUCUUCGGGGGUAGAGCACUGUUUCGGCUAGGGGGUCAUCCCGACUUACCAACCCGAUGCAAACUACGAAUACCGAAGAAUGUUAUCACGGGAGACACACGGCGGGUGCUAACGUCCGUCGUGAAGAGGGAAACAACCCAGACCGCCAGCUAAGGUCCCAAAGUCAUGGUUAAGUGGGAAACGAUGUGGGAAGGCACAGACAGCCAGGAUGUUGGCUUAGAAGCAGCCAUCAUUUAAAGAAAGCGUAAUAGCUCACUGGUCGAGUCGGCCUGCGCGGAAGAUGUAACGGGGCUAAACCAUGCACCGAAGCUGCGGCAGCGACACUAUGUGUUGUUGGGUAGGGGAGCGUUCUGUAAGCCUGCGAAGGUGACCUGUGAGGGUUGCUGGAGGUAUCAGAAGUGCGAAUGCUGACAUAAGUAACGAUAAAGCGGGUGAAAAGCCCGCUCGCCGGAAGACCAAGGGUUCCUGUCCAACGUUAAUCGGGGCAGGGUGAGUCGACCCCUAAGGCGAGGCCGAAAGGCGUAGUCGAUGGGAAACAGGUUAAUAUUCCUGUACUUGGUGUUACUGCGAAGGGGGGACGGAGAAGGCUAUGUUAGCCGGGCGACGGUUGUCCCGGUUUAAGCAUGUAGGCUGGUUAUCCAGGCAAAUCCGGAUAAUCAAGGCUGAGGUGUGAUGACGAGGCACUACGGUGCUGAAGUAACAAAUGCCCUGCUUCCAGGAAAAGCCUCUAAGCAUCAGGUAACAUCAAAUCGUACCCCAAACCGACACAGGUGGUCAGGUAGAGAAUACCAAGGCGCUUGAGAGAACUCGGGUGAAGGAACUAGGCAAAAUGGUGCCGUAACUUCGGGAGAAGGCACGCUGGUGUGUAGGUGAAGUCCCUGCGGAUGGAGCUGAGACCAGUCGAAGAUACCAGCUGGCUGCAACUGUUUAUUAAAAACACAGCACUGUGCAAACACGAAAGUGGACGUAUACGGUGUGACGCCUGCCCGGUGCCGGAAGGUUAAUUGAUGGGGUUAUCCGUAAGGAGAAGCUCUUGAUCGAAGCCCCGGUAAACGGCGGCCGUAACUAUAACGGUCCUAAGGUAGCGAAAUUCCUUGUCGGGUAAGUUCCGACCUGCACGAAUGGCGUAAUGAUGGCCAGGCUGUCUCCACCCGAGACUCAGUGAAAUUGAACUCGCUGUGAAGAUGCAGUGUACCCGCGGCAAGACGGAAAGACCCCGUGAACCUUUACUAUAGCUUGACACUGAACAUUGAGCCUUGAUGUGUAGGAUAGGUGGGAGGCUUUGAAGCGUGGACGCCAGUCUGCGUGGAGCCAACCUUGAAAUACCACCCUUUAAUGUUUGAUGUUCUAACGUUGGCCCCUGACCGGGGUUGCGGACAGUGUCUGGUGGGUAGUUUGACUGGGGCGGUCUCCUCCCAAAGCGUAACGGAGGAGCACGAAGGUUAGCUAAUCCUGGUCGGACAUCAGGAGGUUAGUGCAAUGGCAUAAGCUAGCUUGACUGCGAGCGUGACGGCGCGAGCAGGUGCGAAAGCAGGUCAUAGUGAUCCGGUGGUUCUGAAUGGAAGGGCCAUCGCUCAACGGAUAAAAGGUACUCCGGGGAUAACAGGCUGAUACCGCCCAAGAGUUCAUAUCGACGGCGGUGUUUGGCACCUCGAUGUCGGCUCAUCACAUCCUGGGGCUGAAGUAGGUCCCAAGGGUAUGGCUGUUCGCCAUUUAAAGUGGUACGCGAGCUGGGUUUAGAACGUCGUGAGACAGUUCGGUCCCUAUCUGCCGUGGGCGCUGGAGAAUUGAGGGGGGCUGCUCCUAGUACGAGAGGACCGGAGUGGACGCAUCACUGGUGUU
rnacentral:rRNA from 1 species